rfam:Schizopora paradoxa strain KTC8140 unplaced genomic scaffold SCHPAscaffold_00190, whole genome shotgun sequence.
GUCCCCUUCGGGGUGACAUACGAAAAAAUUGGAACGAUACAGAGAAGAUUAGCAUGGCCCCUGCACAAGGAUGACACGCUUUUCAGAGUGGAAUGCACUUCGGUGCACAAUAUUUAU